AGAGUUUGAUCCUGGCUCAGAACGAACGCUGGCGGCGUGCCUAACACAUGCAAGUCGCGCGGGAAAGUGGGGGCAACUCCACGAGUACAGCGGCGCACGGGUGAGUAACACGUAGGUAACCUACCUUCGAGACUGGGAUAACCUGUCGAAAGACGGGCUAAUACCAGAUAAGACCACGGGAGUUGCGACUUCUGUGGUAAAAGGUGGCCUCUGCUUGCAAGCUACUACUUGAGGAUGGGCCUGCGCGCCAUUAGCUAGUUGGCGGGGUAACGGCCCACCAAGGCAAAGAUGGCUAGCUGGUCUGAGAGGAUGAUCAGCCACACUGGGACUGAGACACGGCCCAGACUCCUACGGGAGGCAGCAGUGGGGAAUAUUGCGCAAUGGGCGAAAGCCUGACGCAGCGACGCCGCGUGGGUGAUGAAGGCCUUCGGGUCGUAAAGCCCUGUCGGGAGGGACGAAACCUCGGCGACCUAAUAUGUCGUCGACCUGACGGUACCUCCGAAGGAAGCACCGGCUAACUCCGUGCCAGCAGCCGCGGUAAUACGGAGGGUGCAAGCGUUGUUCGGAAUCACUGGGCGUAAAGCGCGUGUAGGCGGCCUUGUAAGUCUGGUGUGAAAGCCCGGGGCUUACCCCCGGAAGUGCACUGGAAACUGCAAGGCUUGAGUACCGGAGAGGAGGGUGGAAUUCCUGGUGUAGCGGUGAAAUGCGUAGAUAUCAGGAGGAACACCGGUGGCGAAGGCGGCCCUCUGGACGGAUACUGACGCUGAGACGCGAAAGCGUGGGGAGCAAACAGGAUUAGAUACCCUAGUAGUCC
rnacentral:rRNA from 1 species